CAUGCCUGUACUAUAGAUAGGUUUGAAAUGAUUUCUUUUAAGUGUAUUUUUCUGAUAAAGUCUUUAUUUUUCCUUUGUUCUUGAUAUUUUCUCUGGGCAUACUAUUUUCAAGACACAAUGAGAUGCAUUGAAUAAAGAAAGGUGAAUGCUAUAUGGUUCACGUUGAAAUAUUUCAAUUGAGCCAAUUUCAUAAACACACAGACUAUUGAUUCUGUUUCCCUGACUAUUCCUAACUACAAUCCACCUGAAUAUUACUAUCAGGAUAUAGUGCUGAUCUGAAUGAUAAUAUAUAUAUAUAUUUUUUUUCUUAUUUUCCCCUCUUCUCUCAUAGCAAAAAUUCUCCAAAGAAAAUAAGCCUUUUUGACAAUUAAAACAAUAAACUUUACACGUCAUCAAAACAUUAGAAAAUAUGUCUGCACAAAUGAAUACUUUAAAAAUAUAUUGUCAAUGAAAUGGAGAUAAACAUGGUAACAUCUUGGCAUGUGUACUUCUAGAAUUUUUUUUCUUUGUUUUUUAGAUGGAGUUUCACUCUUGUUGCUCAGGCUGAAGUGCAGUGGCACUAUUUCAGCUCACUGCAACCUCCCUCUCUCCAGUUGAAGCGAUUCUUCUGCCUCAGCCUUACAAGUAGCUGGGAUUACAGGUACUGAUAGAGGAAUCAUUUUGUCUGACCUGUUGUGUUUCUUCAGCCAAAGAGGACAUACUGAACAGUUGUAUUGAUUCGGGAAUGAUGCAUGUGGACAUCAGGGCAUGAGAUUGUAGGAGCUAAGAACUGGGAACAGAAAGAUGCAACUCCUGCCUUCGUGGAGUAUAUUCCAGUAGAAGAGUCAGGAACAAACAGGCAUAGUGAUUCUGCUCUUCUGAUCAAUCCUGAUUGACACAGCCACAGUUAAAGAAAAUGGAAAGAGCUCCUGUUCAUUAACUAAUUUGAGAUGAACAGUGCUUUCAAUAUUUCCAAGGUAUGCUGAUAACCACAGGACACAUUUGAAUAUUCCAUAUAGCCAUAUUUUUCUUAUGAAUUUGUAAAUUUAAACUGUAUGCCUCUUAUGUUGCAGAUGGUAGUGAUUUUUUUCCAUACCAGUUUAUUCAUUUAUCUAACUUACAUUUUGUCUGUCUUAUGGGUUUGUACCUGAAUUAUAACUAAUAUCUUUCCAGUAUUUCUCUAAUAAUAUUUUUGUGAUAUAAAGUAUUACUUAAUUCAUCAUUACCUAACAAUCAUAUUCUGAGUAGGAAUUCCUAGAAAGAUAUAAACCUGAAUAUUUUCAUAUUUUUUAUGAAUUUCAUUAUUUGGAAU
rnacentral:lncRNA from 13 species